GCCAUCUGGCUUUCUUGCCUGGCACCAGACCUUAUGACUUCAUGAUGGAAUCUUCUCUCAGCAGGCAGAGGGGGAUUUGCCAGGGUAAAGAGGAGGCUGGGAGGAAGAGGCCUGCCGAGGGAGGCUUUGUCUUUUCAGCCAGAGUUUGACAAUUAGGCUUCAUCAUGUCACGAUGCGGUGCUACUGCUGACCCCAAAACACAACGCCGGAAGUGGUGCUCACUAGAGACUGUGAGUGGCAUUGUGCACCUGCCAUCUUGCUGAGGCCUCCCAGGGGAGCUCAGAGGACACCUGGCCUCCUUCAAUCCAGGACUCACUGUUGAAGUGGAGCCGGGGCCCUCGCAGGAAAGAAUGAGCUGUGGGAGGGCCACUGGUCCACCACAGGGAGUCUGUGCUGUCCAGUGCCCACUGGAUGGCAGGAAGGGUAGGGCCUUAGAUGUGUCAGAACUGUGACGCUGAAUCCGGAGCCCCAACCUCUCCUAGCCUCCUAGAGGAGGAUGACCCAGGACCCUUGUCCUCCCAACAGCAGGCCACCAGUUCAAGGGACAAGAAGCCCCUAAGCUCCCUCCACCUUUCACAUAGGGCCCAGGUGGCCUUGGAGUACCUGCCUUUCUUCUGCACCUAUGGGUGCCUCCUGGAAGAGGAGGGGUUGGUCCUGCAGCCCAAGACACCGCUCCAGGAGGACUCAGAACUGCUCAGUGGGUUCUUCCCUUACUACCGCUCUGAGGAGGAGAGUUUGCCCAGCCUGGCCCUUCCUGGCUGGUCACACAGGGGCUCCCAAGAUCUGCCCACUGAGAAGGAGGCACGGGCUGGCUGCUUCUGCAGGACAACAGUCAGGGACGAAUGCUCUCCUGACCCAAGCUCAGACAGAGGAAGCAGGAGCCACCUGAACAACUGAAGGGUGCAGACACCCAGAAGCUGGUUUUGUAAAUAAAUCGUGCACCUUGGCGC
rnacentral:lncRNA from 1 species